rnacentral:rRNA from 1 species
GACGAACGCUGGCGGCGUGCUUAACACAUGCAAGUCGAACGGUGAACGAGGGAGCUUGCUCCCUCCGGAUGAGUGGCGAAUGGGUGAGUAACACGUGAGCAAUCUGCCCCGUAUUCUGGGAUAAGCGAUGGAAACGACGUCUAAUACCGGAUACGAGGGGGGAGGGCAGCCUCCCCGCGUGGAAAGAACUUCGGUUCGGGAUGGGCUCGCGGCCUAUCAGCUUGUUGGUGAGGUAACGGCUCACCAAGGCGACGACGGGUAGCCGACCUGGGAGGGUGACCGGCCACAAUGGGACUGAGGCACGGCGCAGAGUGCUACGCGGGGCAGCGGUGGGAAAUAUGGCACAAUGGGCGCAAGUCUGAUGAAGUCUCCCCGCGUGGGGGACGACGUUCUUCGGGGUGUAAAGGUCUUUUAGCGGGUAAUAAGCGGUAGUGACGGUACCUGCAGAAAAAGCCCCGGCUAACUUCGUG